rnacentral:rRNA from 1 species
AGUGAACGCUGGCGGCGUGCUUAACACAUGCAAGUCGAACGAGAACGGAUUAUAGCUUGCUAUAAUUGUCAGCUAAGUGGCGCACGGGUGAGUAAUAUAUAGGUAACGUGCCCCAAAGAAGAGGAUAACAGUUGGAAACGAUUGCUAAGACUCUAUAUGCCUUUAUGACAUAAGUCAGCAAGGGAAAUAUUUAUAGCUUUGGGAUCGGCCUGUACAGUAUCAGUUAGUUGGUGAGGUAAUGGCUCACCAAGACAAUGACGCUUAACUGGUUUGAGAGGAUGAUCAGUCACACUGGAACUGAGACACGGUCCAGACUCCUACGGGAGGCAGCAGUGGGGAAUAUUGCACAAUGGACGAAAGUCUGAUGCAGCAACGCCGCGUGGAGGAUGACACAUUUCGGUGCGCAAACUCCUUUUAUAUAGGAAGAUAAUGACGGUACUAUAUGAAUAAGCACCGGCUAACUCCGU